UUCUGCUUGUUAAUCUUUGUGGUUAACGUUGCACGAAUCAACCGAAAGGAGUGCAUUCUAAGAGGACGCGCUGGUUGUAAUCCUGGACGAGACUGAACUCGCCCUAUUUUGUGUCCUUUUGUUCUUGCAUGGAUUACAACGUUGCGUGCGCGCGCCAGUGACUAUGCAGCUUGUAGCGUUCCCACUUUAUAGCAAAACAAAAAUAUAACUGCAAUGUUUACUUCGUCUAUACAAUUCCAAAUGCAAUCGCCUGCUGAUGUAAAAAUUUCACUGGUGUUUUGUUCUAAAUAAGCAGCAAAAGUUUUAGCCUAGUAGGUGCUUUAUGCGGGAGUGCAAUCAGGACUGCUUGGAAUUUAUUAAUGAAUGACUGUGGGUCAUCUCAUUUGUAAUUGCAAAUCUAUUUUUCAACUAACUUGAUGCUCUUUUAUUUUGUUCUUUUCACUCUAUAGACUGCUGGGCAUCCUCCUUGUCCCUUGGCGCUAUCUGGAUUACGGGACCUCAUCAUGAUCACUGUAAUGCAAUGUACUGUACCCUUUGUGGUCCUCCCAGUGCUUUGUAUAUGGGUUAAGGCCAGGGAGCGCCUCGUGGUAAAAUAGCUAGUUGGUGUCUCACAAACGGGCAUUUUUUUUGCACUGGUAUCUUAUAAGCUGCGACUAUUAUAACCAAUUUCUCAGUGCCAGUGUACAUACACAGUUCUACUAUUAAUUAGUUUUCCCAGCCUUACAAAAUUUAAGUGUAGGUAGUCAGUGCUAUUUGUGAGUAAGAGCUCACAAAUUAGCUCUGUUGUGUCAUCAUUUACGUUUUCCACACAUGAGUAAAAUUUGCUACAGCAGUGUACAUUACACUUUGCUUCCCUAAUGCACAAAUGUAUUCAAGCCAGUAUAUGAUUAGUUCUGUAUUCUCAAUGUUUUCUGUGUGAUUUAGUUUCUUUACAGGAAUUUACUGUACAGCAUCAGCAAGCAGUCUACUUUAAGAUUUAUGUAUAUGCUGCAAAAGGUAUGCUUUGCCGCUACAAUUGAUAAAACAUGGCCCGAGGCUUCCAUACACGACCGAACUUCAAUUUGGCUCUGCCACCAUCAGCACUUGGCUGGCGCUUACCAAAUGAAUCACAUCAGGCUUGCCUAUGUCUACAAGAACUGUUGUGUCGAGACACAAGAAAACUUCACGCGUGGCCUGUGACAGCAAGCUUUUGUGGGUAGCCAGUGCUCUCUUACGAAGGCUGGCAUGCUCUGGCAGUGGUGGCAAUCAUCUUCAGGAUUCACGCAUGAUCACCUUUGCUGCUAUUUGUCACUCUUGUUAAUUACACUUUCUGCAUCUGCUCUAAUUUAUUACGUAAUAAAGUGUGACUAUGUGA